AGGGAAUCUUCCACAAUGGGCGGAAAGCCUGAUGGAGCAACGCCGCGUGCAGGAUGAAGGCCCUCGGGUCGUAAACUGCUUUUAUAAGUGAAGAAUAUGACGGUAACUUAUGAAUAAGCACCGGCUAACUACGUGCC
rnacentral:rRNA from 1 species